GACGAACGCUGGCGGCGUGCUUAACACAUGCAAGUCGAACGGAAGGCCCUGCUUUUGUGGGGUGCUCGAGUGGCGAACGGGUGAUUAACACGUGAGUAACCUGCCCUUGACUUUGGGAUAACUUCAGGAAACUGGGGCUAAUACCGGAUAGGAGCUCCUGCUGCAUGGUGGGGGUUGGAAAGUUUCGGCGGUUGGGGAUGGACUCGCGGCUUAUCAGCUUGUUGGUGGGGUAGUGGCUUACCAAGGCUUUGACGGGUAGCCGGCCUGAGAGGGUAACCGGCCACAUUGGGACUGAGAUACGGCCCAGACGCCUACGGGAGGCAGCAGGGGGGAAUAUUGCACAAUGGGCGGAAGCCUGAUGCAGCAACGCCGCGUGCGGGAUGACGGCCUUCGGGUUGUAAACCGCUUUCGCCUGUGACGAAGCGUGAGUGACGGUAAUGGGUAAAGAAGCACCGGCUAACUACGUG
rnacentral:rRNA from 1 species